rnacentral:rRNA from 1 species
UACGUAGGGUGCAAGCGUUGUCCGGAAUUAUUGGGCGUAAAGAGCUCGUAGGCGGCUUGUCGCGUCGAAUGUGAAAUCUCAGGGCUCAACUCUGACAUUGCAUUCGAUACGGGCAGGCUAGAGUUCGGUAGGGGAGACUGGAAUUCCUGGUGUAGCGGUGAAAUGCGCAGAUAUCAGGAAGAACACCGGUGGCGAAGGCGCUCUGCUAGGCCGCAACUGACACUGAGGGACGAAAGCUAGGGGAGCGAAUGGG